rnacentral:tRNA from 1 species
GCCUGGGUGGCUCAGUCGGUUGAGCGUCCGACUUCGGCUCGGGUCAUGACCUCACGGUUCGUGGGUUCGAGCCCCGCGUGGGGCU